rnacentral:rRNA from 1 species
UGGGGAAUUUUGGACAAUGGGCGCAAGCCUGAUCCAGCCAUGCCGCGUGCGGGAAGAAGGCCUUCGGGUUGUAAACCGCUUUUGUCAGGGAAGAAAUCUUCUGAGUUAAUACCUCGGGAGGAUGACGGUACCUGAAGAAUAAGCACCGGCUAACUACGUGCCAGCAGCCGCGGUAAUACGUAGGGUGCAAGCGUUAAUCGGAAUUACUGGGCGUAAAGCGUGCGCAGGCGGUUUUGUAAGACAGAGGUGAAAUCCCCGGGCUCAACCUGGGAACUGCCUUUGUGACUGCAAGGCUUGAGUGCGGCAGAGGGGGAUGGAAUUCCGCGUGUAGCAGUGAAAUGCGUAGAUAUGCGGAGGAACACCGAUGGCGAAGGCAAUCCCCUGGGCCUGCACUGACGCUCAUGCACGAAAGCGUGGGGAGCAAACAGGAUUAGAUAGCCCUGGUAGUCCACGCCCUAAACGAUGUCAACUGGUUGUUGGGAAAGUUCCUUCUCAGUAACGUAGCUAACGCGUGAAGUUGACCGCCUGGGGAGUACGGCCGCAAGGUUGAAACUCAAAUGAAUUGACGGGGU